rnacentral:rRNA from 1 species
UGCGUAGGCGGCGUCAUAGGUCAGGGGUGAAAGCCCACAGCUCAACUGUGGAAUUGCCUUUGAUACUGUGGUGCUUGAAUCAGGUUGAGGUAGGCGGAAUGUGGCAUGUAGCGGUGAAAUGCUUAGAUAUGCCAUAGAACACCGAUUGCGAAGGCAGCUUACUGGACCUGCAUUGACGCUGAGGCACGAAAGCGUGGGGAGCGAACAGGAUUAGAUACCCUGGUAGUCC